CAGGUCUCUUAAAAGUUCAAUAAAGAAUGUUCUCAAGUGCUAACUUGUGAAUCAGAUGUAGAGGCCAACUGAACAAUUGUGUACUUCCAAGAAGACUGGUGAAUUCAGUUUCCAAGACCGGAUGAUUUCUCAAGAGCGUAAAACGGAAAGUUUGUCUCCAUUUUGCUUCUAUAAUCAAGACAGGAGAUGAGGUUUACAGGAACUGCGCUAUUAAAGGUUGUUAAAACCUAAAACUAUCGGUUUGGAAACUUAAGGUUGGUUCAACUGAGCAUCGAAGGUGGUUUUGAUAUGGGUAAGCGUGGGGCCUAUACUUGCAGUGUAUUAUGAAAUGUAAAGCUUAAAUACACUAAUUUUGAAGCUAAAUGGGCCUAGACUUGCAGUGUAUUAUGAUAUGUAAAGCUUAAUUAAUUACACUAAUAAAACUAAAUAUAAAAAUAUAAACUUUCUUGCUAUCACCAUUGACCGUAAAUACAAGGUUGUAAGGUGAGUGUAAAGUAGAAUUUAAGGUAUUUACUUUGACAAAGGUUUUGAACUACUAGUUCUAAAAUGGUUCAAAAUUUUGAAUUGAAAGUGUCUCCACAAUGGUACUUAUUACGUGGUCGUAGAUGCGUAUAAAGUAAUUUUAGUUUAAGGUAUUUAAUGUGACCAGGGUUUAGAAAUGUAGGUUCUGAAAUUGUUUAAAAUUUUGAAUAGUCUGUCCGCAUAAGACCAAGAGUUGAGGAUUUGUUUGUGAUAAGUCUUAUUUUAAUUUACUAAAUACUUUUAUUUUUGGUCUUUCAAGCCACUUUUAAACCUGCUAAUCUAAAGGUCGUGAUAUAGUAGUUAAUGUUACAAUUCUAGGGAUAAUAACCCAAAUUUACAUAUUGAAAUCUGUAAAGGGGCUAAAACUAGUCCUGUAGGGUAUGGGAAGUUCAAUUUUCUAAAACUUAUUUUAAGAAAAUUAAAUUGUUACAGUGGUUUGCUAUUGAAUCUACCAAGGUGCACUAACCAAUGUUAAAGAUAUAGAAGCGAGCGAGUUCUCUUGACAAAACAUAAAAUACAAAACUGUCUUCAGCAAUUCACAAUUUAAACAAACUUUC